rnacentral:rRNA from 1 species
UACAGAAGCCUCAAGCGUUGUUCGGAAUUACUGGGCGUAAAGGGAAUGUAGGUGGUGACGUAAGUCAGAUGUGAAAGCCCUGGGCUUAACCCGGGAAGUGCAUUUGAUACUGCGUUGCUAGAGUGCGGAAGAGGAAAGCGGAAUUCCAGGUGUAGGGGUGAAAUCCGUAGAUAUCUGGAGGAAUACCGAUGGCGAAGGCAGCUUUCUGGUCCGUAACUGACACUGAGAUUCGAAAGCAUGGGUAGCAAACAGG